CACGUAGCUAGCCGGGGCUUCUUAGUCAGGUACCGUCAUUUUCUUCCCUGCUGAUAGAAGUUUACAUACCGAAAUACUUCUUCCUUCACGCGGCGUCGCUGCAUCAGGGUUUCCCCCAUUGUGCAAUAUUCCCCACUGCUGCCUCCCGUAGGAGUUUGGGCCGUGUCUCAGUCCCAAUGUGGCCGUUCACCCUCUCAGGCCGGCUACUGAUCGUCGCCUUGGUGAGCCCUUACCUCGCCAACUAGCUAAUCAGACGCGGGUCCAUCUCAUACCACCGGAGUUUUUCACACCGUCCCAUGCGAGACCGUGCGCUUAUGCGGUAUUAGCAGUCAUUUCUAACUGUUAUCCCCCUGUAUGAGGCAGGUUACCCACGCGUUACUCACCCGUCCGCCACUCAGUCAAAUAAGACUUCAAACCGAAGUAAUCCGUCUUAAGUGCUUCGUUCGACUUGCAUGUGUUAAGCACGCCGCCAGCGUUCAUCCUGAGCCAGGAUCAAACUCU
rnacentral:rRNA from 1 species